UACGAAGGGGGCUAGCGUUGCUCGGAAUUACUGGGCGUAAAGGGCGCGUAGGCGGACAGUUAAGUCGGGGGUGAAAGCCCGGGGCUCAACCUCGGAAUUGCCUUCGAUACUGGCUGUCUUGAGUGUGAGAGAGGUGUGUGGAACUCCGAGUGUAGAGGUGAAAUUCGUAGAUAUUCGGAAGAACACCAGUGGCGAAGGCGGCUCACUGGCCCGUUACCGACGCUCAGGCGCGACAGCGUGGGGAGCAAACAGG
rnacentral:rRNA from 1 species